rnacentral:rRNA from 1 species
GGAGGGGGCCAGCGUUGUUCGGAAUUAUUGGGCGUAAAGGGCGUCUAGGUGGCCGUGCAAGUCGGAGGUGAAAUCCCUCGGCUCAACCGAGGAAUUGCCCCCGAUACUGCAUGGCUUGAGUCCCGGAGAGGGUAGCGGAAUUCCUAGUGUAGCGGUGAAAUGCGUAGAUAUUAGGAGGAACACCAGUGGCGAAGGCGGCUACCUGGACGGGUACUGACACUGAAGCGCGAAAGCGUGGGGAGCAAACAGGAUUAGAUACCCUGGUAGUCCACGCUGUAAACGAUGGGCACUUGGUGUUGCGGGUAUCGACCCCCCUGCAGUGCCCGAAGCUAACGCAUUAAGUGCCCCCGCCUGGGGGAGUACGGUCGCAAGGCUG